UGAACUGNAUAGCUAGAGUGUGUCAGAGGGGGGUAGAAUNCCACGUGUAGCAGUGAAAUGCGUAGAGAUGUGGAGGAAUACCGAUGGCGAAGNCAGCCCCCUGGGAUAACACUGACGUUCAUGCUCGAAAGCGUGGGUAGCAAACAGGAUUAGAUACCCUGGUAGUNCACGCCCUAAACGAUGUCGAUUAGCUGUUGGGCAACUUGAUUGCUUAGUAGCGUAGCUAACGCGUGAAAUCGACCGCCUGGGGAGUACGGUCGCAAGAUUAAAACUCAAAGGAAUUGACGGGGACCCGCACAAGCGGUGGAUGAUGUGGAUUAAUUNGAUGCAACGCGAAGAACCUUACCUGGUCUUGACAUGUACGGAACCUUCCAGAGACGGAAGGGUNCCUUCGGGANCNGUAACACAGGUGCUGCAUGGCUGUCGUCAGCUCGUGUCGUGAGAUGUUNGGUUAAGUCCCGCAACGAGCGCAACCCUUGUCNUUAGUUGCCAUCAUUUAGUUGGGCACUNUAAUGAGACUGCCGGUGACAAACCGGAGGAAGGUGGGGAUGACGUCAAGUCCUCAUGGCCCUUAUGACCAGGGCUUCACACGUCAUACAAUGGUCGGUACAGAGGGUAGNCAA
rnacentral:rRNA from 1 species